AGAGUUUGAUCCUGGCUCAGAAUCAACGCUGGCGGCGUGCCUCAGACAUGCAAGUCGAACGCGAAAGCUCCCCUCGGGGAGCAAGUAGAGUGGCGCACGGGUGAGUAACACGUAGGUAAUCUACCUUUGGAUGGGGAAUAACAACCGGAAACGGUUGCUAAUACCGCAUAAUGCAGCGGCACCUAAUGGUGACAGUUGUUAAAGCGGGGGAUCGUAAGACCUCGCGUCUGAAGAGGAGCCUGCGGCAGAUUAGCUAGUUGGUAAGGUAACGGCUUACCAAGGCGAUGAUCUGUAGCCGGCCUGAGAGGGCGGUCGGCCACACUGACACUGACAUACGGGUCAGACUCCUACGGGAGGCAGCAGUCGGGAAUUUUGGGCAAUGGGCGAAAGCCUGACCCAGCAACGCCGCGUGAAGGAUGAAAUCCCUCGGGAUGUUCUUCCAAGAGCAGGAAGAAUAAGUGAGAGUAAUACUCUACGAUGACGUACUC
rnacentral:rRNA from 1 species